rnacentral:misc_RNA from 1 species
AAAGAUAUAGCAUAUUCUUCUGAAUAUACUUUACUUAACCCAUUCCGAGUACCUUACCCGUUGCUUCCGCGAGGCUGUCCUCACGGCCCUCUGAAGAUUUAUCUUUGGGGAGGUCCUUGCGGAAGGUAUACAAUAAACUCUUGCAUUACCAUGUCAUCUGUCUGAAUCUGUUUAAAACAAAUAUUA